GGUGAGGGCACGUACACACGAUCUAAAGGAAUCAGUAUUGAUGGACCUUUUAAUCCAGAUAUGGAAAUCAGUCUUGAGGAACUUUAUUAUCCAUCUUCGAACAUAUGUGUUGUGAAACUUUUUUUUAUUCAUAAAACAUUGCAGAAAAUAUUAUUGAAAACACAUCUUAAAAGUAGAAUAUCAAAAUCUGGCAUCAAUCGUACUUGGAUUGACGGCAGAGCUUAACGAUUACUAUCGGCAAUUAUUUCUAACGUGCAGUUGUCAAACAGAUACAAUAUUGUAUA
rnacentral:lncRNA from 1 species